CCUACGGGAGGCAGCAGUGGGGAAUAUUCCACAAUGGGGGAAACCCUGAUGCAGCGACGCCGCGUGAGUGAAGAAGUAUUUCGGUAUGUAAAGCUCUAUCAGCAGGAACGAGACAAGACGGUACCUGACUAAGAAGCCCCGGCUAACUACGUGCCAGCAGCCGCGGUAAUACGUAGGGGGCAAGCGUUAUCCGGAAUCACUGGGUGUAAGGGGAGCGUAGACGGCUGAGCAAGCGUGAAGUGAAAGGCGGGGGCCCAACCCCCGGACUGCUUUGGGAACUGUACGGCUGGAGUGCAGGAGAGGUAAGUGGAAUUCCUAGUGUAGCGGUGAAAUGCGUAGAUAUUAGGAGGAACACCAGUGGCGAAGGCGGCUUACUGGACUGUAACUGACGUUGAGGCUCGAAAGCGUGGGGAGCAAACAGGAUUAGAUACCCGAGUAGUC
rnacentral:rRNA from 1 species